CCUACGGGUGGCAGCAGUAGGGAAUAUUGGGCAAUGGAGGAAACUCUGACCCAGCAACGCCGCGUGAAUGAUGAAGGUCUUCGGAUUGUAAAGUUCUUUUCUAAGGGAAGAAGAAAGUGACGGUACCUUAGGAAUGAUCCGCGGCUAACUACGUGACAGCAGCCGCGGUAAUACGUAUGAGGCGAGCGUUAUCCGGAAUGACUGGUCGUAAAGGGUGCGUAGGGGGUUUGGCAAGUUAGUAGCGUACCUCCAAGGCUCAACCUUGGAACUACUACUAAAACUGUUGGACUUGAGUGCAGGAGGGGCAACCGGAAUUCCUAGUGUAGGGGUGGAAUGCGUAGAUAUUAGGAGGAACACCAGUGGCGAAGGCGGGUUGCUAGAAUGUAACUGACACUGAGGCACGAAAGCGUGGGGAGCAAACAGGAUUAGAUACCCGUGUAGUC
rnacentral:rRNA from 1 species